rnacentral:misc_RNA from 1 species
GGAUAUAUGCCUCAUGCUGCACUAUAUGAUAAACGAUGCCAGUUCAGAGGCCAGUUUGGACCUAAAACUAUAUAUUUGAUUGAUCAUAAUUAUUUAGAUUUUAUCAUACUUUAAAUAUUAUUAUAAUAAUUGUUCCUACACAUUUGCCAUACUUAUAAGUCUUUGUAGUUACCUGCGUGAUAUUGUGAAAAUGAGUCUAUUAAAUUCUGUCUUCUUCUUUUCCCCCUACAUUUAAGUUUACAUUAUCACACUCCUAAUUGAUUUAUGGAAUAUUUUUAUCAUUAAAAUGAAAAUAAAACACUAAUGUUGGGUACCUGUGUUACAUGCUUUUUUUUCUAAAAUAAAUACACAAAUCCACAAUAUUUUUCUUGUUGGCUUAUAUGUUUGUGUGAAAUUGCUUUUUUUAAAUUAUCUAUGGCUUUAGUUUAUGUAAAAUCUAUUAAAAUUUCAUAUGUACUAGUAUACCUAGAAUUUGCUUUUAUUUGCUGUACAUCUAUUGCAUAAUGUACGAGCACAUGCAGUCAAUAGUACAAAGUUAAUAAAAUAUGAUCUCAUAUUUUGAAUUGUAAAGAUAAAUAAAAUAAAAUUGUGCAAUU